UACGUAGGGCGCAAGCGUUGUCCGGAAUUAUUGGGCGUAAAGAGCUCGUAGGCGGUCUGUUACGUCCGCUGUGAAAACCCAGGGCUUAACCCUGGGCUUGCAGUGGAUACGGGUAGACUAGAGGCAGGUAGGGGAGAAUGGAAUUCCCGGUGUAGCGGUGAAAUGCGCAGAUAUCGGGAGGAACACCGGUGGCGAAGGCGGUUCUCUGGGACGGUACUGACGCUGAGACGCGAAAGCGUGGGGAGCGAACAGG
rnacentral:rRNA from 1 species